rnacentral:lncRNA from 1 species
ACCGUUAAAUAAUAUCGUAAAUCGUUUAUUAGAGGUUACAGGUUACAAUAGUUUUUGAAUUUUAAUAUUUUUGAAUGAUGAAGAAGUAAGAAAGAAGUACAGACCCCCACUGAGAAAGAAGCACAAACCCCCACUGAGAAAGACCUCUUUUACUUGGAUGUUGGAUAGUUUUUGAAUGAGGGCCUAGACCGCAGACGCAGAAUGCAGAUUGCUUUAUUCUCUUCUCUCGUUCAGACGUUCACGUGUUUCAAUUAUUAUGCUAAAUGUGAAUGGCAGAAACAAUAAUUAGUUUUUUCUUGUUGGAAUGCUACGGUACCUGUAAAUGAAUGUGACCGAAGGCUUCACUUGUGCAAGUUAGUGCAAGAGACUGAAGGACCAGCAUCAGAAGGCAGUUUAGGAUUUUGGAAUGAUCGUAGACAUGAUUGCCUAUCAUCUUGAUAUGAUCUUGAAAAAAGAGAUUUAGUUCCUACUAAAAUGUCUAUUGGAGGAGACUAUUUUGACUCGCCUGACACUAAGUUUGUUGGAAAAAUAUAACUGAAGCCUGAAGAGUGCAAUUAUCAUUCAUUUAUUGCCUUCAACUGUUCAUGAUGAUGAUAAAAGGACCCCAUUUUUAAAAUCAAGAAACCAAUGCAUACAUCAGCAUUGACGUAGCUAAUCUUGUGACUUUUUAAUUGGCAGUUAUGGAAGACAAUAGUGGAACAUCAUCCUAGCAGAGCAGCGGCACAUCAUGAGGAGAUCAUGUCAACAGCCAGGCGGCCAGUGAAGUCAUCGUUGAAUAUGAUCGAAUUCAAGAAACUACUUCAACUGUCAUCGAGAUCCCAUAUCUACAGUACAGCAGUCGUGUGGUAGGAAAAAUAAAUUUUAAUGUGUAAUCUAUCAAAAGAAGUUGGGUGCUUGAAAUGUUUUGAAACAGCAUAUGGGUCAUACAUUUAGAGGUGCAAUAUCAAUGUAUAGUUUGUAUUAAAGUAAUGUAAUACUUCAAUUUAAAAAAUUUAAACGACGGCGUUAAAUCGCCCUAAUCAUAUUAAGUUGCUCAAUCCCAACCAAACUUUUUCCAAACUUCAAACGCAUUCUUAUGAAGCUCAAUUUUUUUGCUUAGUCAAAGAGAUUUUUAUGUAACUGACUUGUAUCACAAGAAAUCUGAGUAAUAUGUAUACUUGUGAAACACCAAACAAUUAUUUUAAAGGUUGUUAUGAAUUAUACUUUGUCAUGAAGAAGGAUCAAGUACCAGGAACUAAUAGUGGAGCUGUGCAGGCUGAGCAGAGGCUACUCUGUACGACUGGGGGUUCUUAAAAUUGAUGUUCUUGGAGGGUUGCGCCCAUCACUGCUUUCUAAUUUAAAAUCUAUUCCUGCUUGUGAAUAGAGUUCCAAUCCACUGUUGAGCAGAUGCAGAAAGCGGACACUUUGGGCUCCAUCUCUACUCAGGACAAAUGAUUUGUGGAUGACGGACAUGGAAUAACUGCUUACCACAUGAUUGUGUGGAGUAGUUAUGUCAUUAAUUAUUAGCAUGUCACCCUCCCUUGGUGGUCGGAACCCAAGGGUUGAGUGGUCUAGCAUCUCCCAACAUGGAUAUAAUAAUUAUUAGCAACUCCUAAAUGGGAAAUAAUAAUAAUAAUAGUUUCACUUGAGACACUCCUAUGGUAGACAGAAAUCCGGUGCUGCCUUAUAUCCCCAGGGAUAUUGAGUCCGUUUUGGAGAAAAAUACUCCAAAAAGAUUGAACCAUUUGGUUAAUCAAUUCAUAAAUUUCAAUCUGAUCAUUAGGAGAAAAUUUCAACAAUAUUCUCUUAAAUCUUCGAUAAGCUUCAUCAACAACAAUCUGACGAUACAUUUGUCUAAGAUCAGAUGUUAGAGUGAUUAGGAACAACCGAAAAUUCAACAACAAAUUGAAGAUAUCACUUUGUAAUUUUUGGCCAACAUGUAAAAUACAAUUAAGAGACAAAUUUGAUGACGAUCGCGCAAAAGCAUUGAAAACAAUUCAAACUUAUCUUCUUGAUUUUUUAUUAAU